UACGUAGGGUGCAAGCGUUGUCCGGAAUUAUUGGGCGUAAAGAGCUCGUAGGCGGUCUGUCGCGUCUGCUGUGAAAACUCAGGGCUUAACCCUGAGCUUGCAGUGGGUACGGGCAGACUAGAGUGCGGUAGGGGAGACUGGAAUUCCUGGUGUAGCGGUGAAAUGCGUAGAUAUCUGGAGGAACACCGGUGGCGAAGGCGGUUCUCUGGGAAUAUCCUGACGCUGAGGAGCGAAAGUGUGGGGAGCGAACAGG
rnacentral:rRNA from 1 species